rnacentral:rRNA from 1 species
UACGUAGGCAGCGAGCGUUGUUCGGAAUUACUGGGCGUAAAGCGCGUGUAGGCGGUGCUCUAAGUUGGGUGUGAAAUCUCCUGGCUUAACUGGGAGGGUGCGCCGGAAACUGGAGUGCUCGAGCGUGGGAGAGGAAGGCGGAAUUCCUGGUGUAGCGGUGAAAUGCGUAGAUAUCAGGAGGAACACCUGCGGUGUAGACGGCUUUCUGGACCAUUGUUGACGCUGAGACACGAAAGCGUGGGUAGCAAACAGG